rnacentral:rRNA from 1 species
AAGUCUUGACAUAAUACGGAGGGAAUUAGAGAUAGUUUCUUAAGACUUCGGUCUACUGUAUUACAGGUGGUGCAUGGUU